rnacentral:misc_RNA from 1 species
UUUCCGUAGGUGAACCUGCGGAAGGAUCAUUACUGUAGAGGGGCUACGUGCCCCCGCGCAACGAUGCAACCCUUGCCUUUUGUCGCAACGCCUUUUCCCCUCGGCGGCUUCGGCCGCCGGCGUGGGACCGCAAAACCCUUGCAAUCUCAGUACAACAGGUCAGUCAUUUGUAAAUGUUUAAAACUUUCAACAAUGGAUCUCUUGGCUCUGGCAUCGAUGAAGAACGCAGC